rnacentral:rRNA from 1 species
UGGGAACCUUCCCUAUGGUUCGGAAUAGCUCAGGGAAACUUGGGGUAAUACCGGAUAAGCCCUUCGGGGGAAAGAUUUAUCGCCAUUGGAUGGGCCCGCGUCGGAUUAGCUAGUUGGUGAGGUAACGGCUCACCAAAGGCAACGAUCCGUAGCUGGUCUGAGAGGAUGAUCAGCCACACUGGGACUGAGACACGGCCCAGACUCCUACGGGAGGCAG